rnacentral:lncRNA from 1 species
ACCAGUCGGAUCUCUACUCUGAACUUCUAUUGCAAGCGGACUUCAUCCGAGCUUCUACAAUAAGAAGUCUCCAUCCAAGCUUCCACAGCAACUGAACUCCGUUCAAACUUCUACAGUAAGUGGCCUCCUUUCAGACUCCUACAAGAGUCAGACUCCAUCCGAACUUCUACAGCGGAUGGAUCUCAGAAAAACUUCUACGAUGGACGGGCUCC